UCAGGACUCCCCCCGCCCCCCACCAUAACAGAAUAUACCCCUUUAACCAUCCAGCCACCUAAUCCCACGUUGCCCCCGCUGGUCGAGCUUGCUAUAUAUAAAGGCGGCUGCCAACUGUUGCAAGACAACUAGCUAAAAAGCCUGCCGAACAGAUCGGGAUCGCGGGUGGGCAGGUAGGACGCCAGGCCUCGUCCGGGUCCACCUCAGGUCACAUUCCCACCUCGGGGCACCCUGGCAGGCAUGAGUGGAACCGUGAGAUCCCUGGUAGCCAAAAGAAGCCUUGGAAAAUUUUGGGGGGAGCGCCCUGGGCCAGGGACAGCUGCCGGGCAGGGGACAGACUCCCCAGCGCCUCCCGGGCCAGCUGCCCACCCAGAGUGGACUUCAAAAUUCACCGGGGUCAGCCUGCCUCAGCCUCCCCAGGGGCAUGUAGAAAUUUCUGCGGACCGAAAGCCCCUCCUGCGUCCUCUUCGGAACUAUAACUGUUUAUAUCUAAUUGCUAUUUAUGUAGAUUGAUUAUUUAUAAAGUAUAAUUUAUACUUCUACAAAUUUAUAUUAUUUAUAUUCAUAUAGUUUGUAAAUGUAAAUAAAUUAUUUGUUUAUAAUACUUGCUUAUAAGAAUUACCAUUGCUGUAUAAACCUCAGGUUCCACCAUCCCCCUGCCCCUACCCUCCCCUUCGCACCUUGCCACGUCCUUCUCCCCUCGCCUUGGCCCCUUCUCCUCUCCCAAAUUCUAGUUGCCCAUCUGCUUGGUUGGGCUGCUGAUCGAUCUGAUCAACUUUCUGAGGCCACAUCAAAACUGCAGAAAUGAGGCUGAUCGACCCAGCAGCUCUAACAAAGAUCAUCCAUCGGACAUCUGGUCGCCUCUCUAUUUUGGAGCCAGAGGCUGUACGCUCUUCCCCGGUGGGGAGGGUGGGGCCCCAAAGUCCAACCACAAGAUCCCAUUUUGCAGGCCGCGGCUAAAUCCACUGCGCCUUCCCCGUUUUUUCUCGAACUGCCCAAGCCAGACUCCACCUCCAAGACAAGACUCGGAAAAAGGUGUGAAGCUCAAGUCGGAUGACCACGACCCACGCGUGGCCACGGACGGGCCCAUGUUAUUCUUCGCAGUCCUCCUGUAAUGGCCGGGCGGGUCCUCGCCUCCAGGGCGGGGCUUGGAGAUAAUGGGUGUAAUGGAAGGCCUGAGGACCCGGCCCCACGCCAGUCGGAGUCCGGGCGGAGUAACCCAUCCCCCGUUCACACUCUCGGAAGGCCCGUCGAUUCCUGCGUGUACUAGUCGACCCGCUCAGGCCACAGCACUCCGAGCUCAAUAGUGCGCCUCCAACGCUGACCCGCAGGUUUAAUCUCCGACGAAAGGACGAAGAGUACACCCGGCAAAGCCGGGCUCAUCCUGCCAGUGCUGCCAGUCCCCUUGAACUCUGCACGGCGCCCUGUGGCCAAAUCCCCUUUCUUGCCGGCUUCGCCAGAGCGCCGGAGAGAAAACCUUAACAGUGCAGCCAGGUGGCGCCCAACAGCCGGCGCAAGCAGCCGCGGAUCGGAUCGGCAUAGCCAGCGGGCGAGGCCUCUCCUAGUCCCUGACCACCUGGGAUCGCGUUUCUUGGCCUGGGCCGGGUGGAGGAGCUCCCAGUUGGCACGGCCUGGAAUGACGCGACCCCGCAGCCGAAGGGGACUUGAAAAUUUUUCCUAACCACCGUUCCGCUCCGAGUUACUGCUACCUGCUAGGACAGACCUCCCACGCGGCUCCGGGCCUGGCGAUCUUCCGCGGGAACCGGGAACGUUUCCGGAGAUCCCCGCAGGCCGGCGCCCUGCCUCGGCUUCCCAGUGCAGCGGGGUCGCGGGCUCCCCGAGGAUUCCAAAGUUUUGCGGGGCGCCUGCGGCGGGAGGGACCCUGAAGUUGAAACUGUGAAAGGCAGAACGUGGGUGAAUCGCUUUUAUUCUGUCUUUUCGGAGUGGGAAAGCCUUUCUAAAGCAUAAAAUAAACCCAGAAGCCAUCAAGGAAAUGAUUGAUCAGCUUGACAACAUAAAGUUUCACAAGCAACGUCAAAAGAUAACAAAUGAGUGUGGGGAUCGCUUAUGCAUAAGAUAAGAAUAUUGAUUUCAUUCACAAUAGCCAAGAUACGGAAGCAAGCUAAGCAUCUACCAGUGGGUGAACGGAAAAAGAAAAUGUGAUGUAUGUACAUCAGGGGGUACUAUCCCGCCUUUGAAUAAAAGGAAAUCCUGCUAUUGGCGACAACGUGGAUGAACGUGGAGGCCAUUGUACUAAGCAAAGUAAGCCAGGCACAGAAACAAAUACCACUUGGUCUCUCCUGUAUGUGGAAUCUGAAAAUAGUUGAACUCAUAGAAACGGAGAGUAGAACUGUGGCUACCUGAGGCCGGGGGAAGGGCAGGAGGGAGGAGAUGUUGUUCAAAGGGUACAAGGAUUCAGUUAGACAAGAGGAAUAUGUUUUAGGGAUCCACAUGACACGGUGACUGUAGUUAAUGCAUUUUAUAUGUCAAAAUCCCCAAAAUAGUAAAUUUUAAAUAUUCUCACCACAAAAAAUAAAUGUGUUGGUGAUGGAUGUCUUAAUUAGCUUAAAGUAAUUAUUCCACCAAUGUAUACAUAUAUCAAAACAUCACAUUGUAUCCCAUAAAUGUAUACAAUUAUGAUUUGUCAAUUAAAAAUAAACUUUAAAAAAUCUUUUUAAAAAGAUUUCAGCAUUAUUUACUAUAAUAACAAAAAAACUGGGGUGGGGGUAAUAGCCAUUGAUUAAGAGGGGUCAGGUUAAAUAAACUCCAGUACAUCCACACCAUACACUGUGUGAAUUUGUUUUGUUUGUUUUAGAUGAGAUAAAUGUUGAUGAUGAAAUGUUAAAUGAAUAAUUUAAAACAAGUAUUAAGUUACCUCUAUUUCAACACAUUAAAUAGCUAGUAAAGACUGUGUGGUGUGGACAGAGGGAUAUGAUCUACAGAACCGAAAAGAGACCAAAACAAAUGCACCCAGCUGGUUUUUGACAAGCAUGCAAAAGCACCUUGUGGCAGGAAAGGUAGCCUUUCCAUCAAAUGGGAGUAGGGCAAUUGCACAUCACAGGCAGCAAACAAGCAGGCAAACCAAAACCCUUGACCUAGACACUGUCAACUUUAGAAUCCCAGGCCCCCACCAAAUGAAUGGACCCCCUCUUGGCCAAGGGGACCUCAGGAAAAUCUUAAAAGUUUAGUUCUAGUCUGCCUGGGGUGGGAGGUCAAACAUGCCUCAUUAUACCCCCUGCCUUUUGGGGUUUAGACCAGCAUUAAUGUUAACAUAGAGAUCAGAAGACUGACAGAACAGACUCUGUGGCAAUAAAAUACCAAGUUAUAAACAGGACCUAAGGCCAUGCCAGGCAAGGGUUAAGUCACUAACACUACGCCUAAAGAAUAAACUGUGUUCCAAGGACCACAAGGCUUUUGUUUUUCUCUGGCAGCUAAACAACCACUGGCCUCAAGAUAGACAAGAUUAAAACAAUUUCCAGCUCCACCACCCACUGACUUACUAAACCCCUGCUCUACCAGCCAUAACUUCCUGAUAAGACCACCAACUAUGGAUUGUCUUUGGCUGGUUUACAGAGGCUGCACACUUGUGUGACUUCAUGCCCUGAAAAGACCUGUUGACAUAUAGGACCUAACUGUAAUACAUUUAAAUGUUAAGUCUCCACCCCAAAGUGAACAUGGAUCAUAUGCUACAUGCAUGUCUGUUCAAUAUGCAUGUGCUAGGACCACCUUCAUGAAUAUUCAUAGCUCCUCCUAUAACCUGUUGAAUAUGUAUGUUUAGCCAACCUGCCCAGCAUAAAGCUCCUACCCUAACCCCUCCUCCUUCAAAGUGCCGUUUCUGGUCCCUUGGCUGAGAUGGCCACCUUAAAGGCUGUAAUCCUUAUGAGAAAUAAAGUCUCCUCAUGUUUCUAAAUGGAUAAAUUGUGGGGGUUUUACCC
rnacentral:lncRNA from 1 species